GAUGAACGCUGGCGGCGUGCCUAAUACAUGCAAGUCGAGCGAACAGACGAGGAGCUUGCUCCUCUGACGUUAGCGGCGGACGGGUGAGUAACACGUGGAUAACCUACCUAUAAGACUGGGAUAACUUCGGGAAACCGGAGCUAAUACCGGAUAAUAUAUUGAACCGCAUGGUUCAAUAGUGAAAGACGGUUUUGCUGUCACUUAUAGAUGGAUCCGCGCCGCAUUAGCUAGUUGGUAAGGUAACGGCUUACCAAGGCAACGAUGCGUAGCCGACCUGAGAGGGUGAUCGGCAAAACUGGAACUAAGAAACGGUCCAGACUCCAACGGGAGGCAGCAGUGGGGAAUCUGCCGCAAUGGGCGAAAGCUUGACGGGGCAACGCCGCGUGAGUGAUGAAGGUCUUCGGAUCGUAAAACUCCGUUAUUAGGGAAGAACAAAUGUGUAAGUAACUAUGCACGUCUUGACGGUACCUAAUCAGAAAGCCACGGCUAACUACGU
rnacentral:rRNA from 1 species